rnacentral:rRNA from 1 species
GACGAACGCUGGCGGCGUGCUUAACACAUGCAAGUCGAACGAUGAAGCCGGAGCUUGCUCCGGUGGAUUAGUGGCGAACGGGUGAGUAACACGUGAGCAAUCUGACCUUGACUCUGGGAUAACUGCGGGAAACUGUAGCUAAUACCGGAUACGACACCUUGGGGCAUCCCAGGGUGUGGAAAGAAUUUCGGUCAAGGAUGAGCUCGCGGCCUAUCAGAUAGUUGGUGAGGUAAUGGCUCACCAAGGCGAGGACGUGUAGCCGCCCUGAGAGGGUGGCCGACCACACUGGAAAUGCGACACGGUCCAGACUCCUACCGGAGGCAGCAGUGGGGAAUAUUGCUCAAUGGGCGAAAGCCUGAUGCAGCAGCGCCGCGUGGGGGAUGAAGGCCUUCGGGUUGUACACCUCUUUUAGCAGGGAAGAAGCGAAAGUGACGGUACCUGCAGAAAAAGCACCGGCUAACUACGUGCCAGCCGCCGCGGUAA